ACACUCAUGUUUUUCUUCAUAUCGCAUAAAUCUUUCGCCUUUUACUAAAGAUUUCCGUGGAGAGGAACGCUAUGAGUAUAAACUAAUUUUUGACGCCCUGCUUAACUGCGGGGC